GCUGACUCCGCUGCUCGCUGGGGCUGUUUCCAGGCGGUGAGCUCCCUUCUAGGCCCACCUGGGCCUGCCCUGCCAGGAAGCUGUCCCCGAGCCGAUGGUGACGUCCGUCCUGCGGGACGCGCUCUCCCACACCUCUCCCUCCGCAGCUGAGCGCCGCUGACCUCCCGAGGGCCUCCUCCCUGUGAGACGUGCCGGCGAGAUGUUCUCCAACAAGUGCCGCAGGAGGGGGCACCCGGCCGCUCCCUGGGAGCCCGGUCCGUGGCAGCCCAGACCCCACGCUCCCAGCCCCCAGGACAACUGGCACGAGCCGCCGUGGGAGCGCCAGCCCUGGAGAGGCGGGCAUAACAGGCACCCGCCCGGUCCCCGGCACCCCCGGCCUUUCCCUGGCCCCGCCAACUUCCAUAGGAUGGAGGAGGACAGGAGGUGGGCACCGCACGACUGUCCCCGUCCGCCACCCCCCUGGCACUACAGAGAAGAGUACCAAAGACCCGAGGAAAACUUUACCGAGGACUCGUACCCGGUGCCGCCGCUGUUUGCCCCGGGCUGCUUCGCCUGGUCUGAGUUCUCCAGAGAGGAGCAGCACCCCGCCGACUUCCCAUGGGAGCAAGGAGCCUUCCAGGAAGGCUGCCCGCCCUGGCGCUCUCGUGGCCUGCGCCAGAAACGCUGCCGACUCCUUCGCCAUGUCCAGCAAGAGACGUCGGCGUACCACGGCCCGGCCUCUCCCCAGCUCUCCAAAGGGAAGCACGCGUCCUCCAAGUCCUCCCAGUCCUGCCCCCAGCAGAGCCAGCCAGGAGGCAAGGAGGAGCCGCAGCACCCCGACGCUCCCCAGCCAGCUAGCGCCUGCAAAGACAGCGUGCAGAGCGGGGGGCAGGUGGAUGAGGGCCUGCCGGCAGCGAGCGGAGAGGUGUCGGAGCCCCCCGCGCCAGCAGCCUCCCCGCAGAAGAGCCCAGCCACUGAUCCUCAGGCUGCGGAGCAGGAGCCAGCGGCAGAAGCAAAGCUGGUCGAGCCAGAAGACGGGCAGAAAGCUGCAGGCAGCCAGGGCCAGGGCCCCUCUGCUUUGGAAACGGAGCCAGUCCUGCCGGAGAACACCUGUACUGGGAAGGAGGAGGACUUCGAGCAGGUAGAGCCGUGCAGCCAAAGUGCCCCCGAGGCCGGAGCAGGUGCUGGGUCACAACCCCGCAGCCCCUCAGCCCCUCCGGAGCCUGCUGGGACGGGCAGCGCCGCAGCUAGCCCGGGUGUGGAGGUCUCACCAGGAGCUGCUGUGGAGCCCGAUGCGCAGCCCAGCCAGGCCAGCUCCGAUGUCUGCACCGAGCCAGCAGCGUCACCUGGGACAGGGCACCCUCCUGUGGGUGGGACGGAGCUGGCUGCAGGCUGCCAGCCCUCGCUCUGCUCCACGCUCUCCGCGCCCUCCCUGGCCAGCACGGACCUGCGCUCCGCCGCUGUCCUUGCCAGGAAAAAGGAGAUCGAGCUGUCCUACCAGCAGUUCAGCCUGACCAUCGCCGUGGUGGCCACGAUGCUGCUGCAGAAGGAGCCCUCCAUGGAGGCGGCGCUGGGGCUGGCGCUGAGGGCCAACCUGCGCCAGGUGCGCACCCACCACCUCCAGGAGCUGGAGGACUUCAUCGACAGCUACGACUCCAGCACCCCCAGCCCCUGAGCCGGGGGCGAAGGUGUGGAGCCCCCGUGUCGGGGUCGGUGCGGUCCCUCCGUCCCUCCCGGAGGUGGAAGGGGCGCUGCUGGUUUCGGGGGGCGGCCAGAAAUUGGUGUUUGCAGCAGGUAAUGGGGGCGCGGGCGGGUUGUCCCCAACCUGGGGUAAGGGACGAGCCCUACCCGGACCUGAAUUUGCAAGAAAAGGAGCUGGUUUUACUGGAGGGUGGCGGGAGGGAGAGCAGCUGGGGCAGAGGGCAAGGGAGGGCUCCCCCCUUCUAAGAGCUCCUUGCUCCCUUCUUGUGGUUUUGUGCUGCUCCCUUAAACCCCGGGCUUUGGUCUUGUUUUUUUAAAAAAUAAAAAUAAAUGAGCUUUGGUCCUCGCA
ensembl:lncRNA